rnacentral:rRNA from 1 species
GAGGAAUGUAUAGCCAUAGCUACUUGCAUCAUUGUAAAAAUGAUGCAGGAUCGACUAUGUCGAAUAAAAUUCUAGGUAGAAUUAUGAUAAUGACAUUGUCUGCCUAUGUGUCUUGACCAAAUUACGUGCCAGCAGUCGCGGUAAUACGUAGAAGACUAGUGUUAUUCAUGUUUAAUCGGUUUAAAGGGUACCUAGACGAUAAAUCAAGCCUAAAAUUAAAUAAAGGGACUAAUUUACUAGAGUUACUUAUGAGGGGGUAUUAAAGUACUGCUGGUGUAGAGAUGAAAUUCUGUCAUACCUCUUUUCAAUAGAAAAAUAAUGGCACAGGUAUAGGCGAAAGCAUCCCCUUAUGUGAUAACUGACGUUGAGGGACGAAGGCUUUGUGUAGCGAACAGGAUUAGAUACCCCCGUAGUCAAAGCAGAAAAUGAUGAAUGUCAUAGAUUAGAUAAAUAAGUUUAUUCUAUAAAUGAAAGUGUAAGCAUUCCACCUCCAGAGUAAUUUGGCAACAUUGGAACUGAAAUCAUUAGACCGUUUCUGAAACCAGUAGUGAAGUAUGUUGUUUAAUUUGAUGGCCCGCAAAAAACCUUACCMCAAUUUGAAUAUUUAUAUUUUUUAUUGUUUUCUUUUUAAUUUUCUUCUGAUUUGAUUUUUCUAAAGAAAAAAAGAAAGAGAGGCGAUAUGAUAUAUUUACAAGCGUUGCACGGCUGUCUUCAGUUAAUGUCGCGAGACUUUGGUUAGUUCCAUUAAAUUAAACGUAAACCCUUMCUUUAUUUUUAUAUAGAGUAGUUCCCCCGCUAUAUGG